CUGCUGCCUUCCGUAGGAGUCUGGGCCGUGUCUCAGUCCCAAUGUGGCCGGUCGCCCUCUCAGGCCGGCUACUGAUCGUCGCCUUGGUGGGCCGCUGCCCCGCCAACUAGCUAAUCAGGCGCGGAUCCAUCUUAUACCACCGGAGUUUUUCACACUGCGCCAUGCGGCGCCGUGCGCUUAUGCGGUAUUAGCAGCCAUUUCUGGCUGUUAUCCCCCAGUAUAAGGCAGGUUAUCCACGUGUUA
rnacentral:rRNA from 1 species